rnacentral:lncRNA from 1 species
UUUGAUCCCACAAGUUUUUUUUUUCCUCACACUCACUCUUUCACACACACUCACUCACAGACACACUCACUCUCUCACACACAGACACACUCACUCUCACAAAGACACACUCUCUCUCUCACACUCUCACACAGACACACUCACUCUCUCACCCACAGACACACUCACUCUCACACAGACACACUCUCUCUCACACUCACACUCACUCACUCUCACACACACACACUCUCUCUCUCUCUCUCUCACACACACUCACUCUCUCUCACACUCACUCUCACUCUCACACACACACACUCUCUCUCUCUCUCUCUCACACACACUCACUCUCUCUCACACUCACUCUCACUCUCACACACACACACUCUCUCUCUCUCUCUCUCACACACACUCACUCUCUCUCACACUCACUCUCACUCUCACACACACACACUCUCUCUCUCUCUCUCUCACACACACUCACUCUCUCUCACACUCACUCUCACUCUCACACACACACACUCUCUCUCUCUCUCUCUCACACACACUCACUCUCUCUCACACUCACUCUCACUCUCACACACACACACUCUCUCUCUCUCUCUCUCACACACACUCACUCUCUCUCACACUCACUCUCACUCUCACACACACACACUCUCUCUCUCUCUCUCUCACACACACUCACUCUCUCUCACACUCACUCUCACUCUCACACACACACACUCUCUCUCUCUCUCUCUCACACACACUCACUCUCUCUCACACUCACUCUCACUCUCACACACACACACUCUCUCUCUCUCUCUCUCACACACACUCACUCUCUCUCACACUCACUCUCACUCUCACACACACACACUCUCUCUCUCUCUCUCUCACACACACUCACUCUCUCUCACACUNNNNNNNNNNACACACACACACUCACACACACACUCACACUCACACUCACACACACACACACACGAAUACGUUUAGCUGAAAAUACCAGUAUUUAUUUAAUUAACUUUACUUGGACCGAUUCGCUCCCAACUACCUGCGUUUCUUCCAUGAAAGAACCUUUUAAAUAAAUCGUUUUCGGGUAUCACACAAACAUAUUGCUCGUCUUUGCGUUUCUGACAACACUGAAUGGGCGUUUUUAGAGACUAAUUUAAAAUUCAAGAAUCUCCCGAGAAGACGAGGCUUGAGGACAGCCAGUAGCAUAGAGCUAUGAACUCAUUUCGAAGUGUAUUCCUUCAAGCUCUGCUUUCAAACGAGAAAAAAAAAACUUUCUCAACAACCACUUAUUUCUUCAACACCCACAAUAUCACACACCGCAUUUCAU